CCUACGGGUGGCUGCAGUGGGGAAUUUUGGACAAUGGGCGCAAGCCUGAUCCAGCCAUUCCGCGUGCAGGAUGAAGGCCCUCGGGUUGUAAACUGCUUUUGUACGGAACGAAACGGCGCUCUCUAAUACAGGGCGCUAAUGACGGUACCGUAAGAAUAAGCACCGGCUAACUACGUGCCAGCAGCCGCGGUAAUACGUAGGGUGCAAGCGUUAAUCGGAAUUACUGGGCGUAAAGCGUGCGCAGGCGGUCUUGUAAGACAGAGGUGAAAUCCCCG
rnacentral:rRNA from 1 species